rnacentral:rRNA from 1 species
UAGAGUUUGAUCCUGGCUCAGAAUCAACGCUGGCGGCGUGCCUAACACAUGCAAGUCGAGCGAGAAAGGGGCUUCGGCCCCGAGUACAGCGGCGCACGGGUGAGUAACACGUGGGUAACCUGCCUCGGAGUGGGGAAUAACACCGGGAAACCGGUGCUAAUACCGCAUACGAUCACGAGAUCUUCGGAUAUCGUGAUGAAAGGAGCAAUUCGCUCUGGGAGGAGCCCGCGGCUGAUUAGCUAGUUGGUGGGGUAAUGGCUCACCAAGGCUACGAUCAGUAGCCGGUCUGAGAGGACGGUCGGCCACACUGGAACUGAGACACGGUCCAGACUCCUACGGGAGGCAGCAGU